rnacentral:rRNA from 1 species
UACGAAGGGGGCUAGCGUUGUUCGGAAUUACUGGGCGUAAAGCGCACGUAGGCGGAUAUUUAAGUCAGGGGUGAAAUCCCAGAGCUCAACUCUGGAACUGCCUUUGAUACUGGGUAUCUUGAGUAUGGAAGAGGUAAGUGGAAUUGCGAGUGUAGAGGUGAAAUUCGUAGAUAUUCGCAGGAACACCAGUGGCGAAGGCGGCUUACUGGUCCAUAACUGACGCUGAGGUGCGAAAGCGUGGGGAGCCAAACAGGGAGUAAGAAACCCCGGUUAAGGUA